UCAAGAGGCGAGAUUUCGUUUGAGUGCACUUUCGCAUUCACUUAAAAUGUAUUCAUUCGAGAUCUGGACUAUUUU
rnacentral:pre_miRNA from 1 species